UUACUGUUUGUAGAGUUGUAGAUUCAUGAUAUGUGUUCUUUGACCGGCUACACAUGAAGUUCACUAAAUUCAAUAUUCGAAGUCCACUUUGCAAUUUUUAAACCGAUAAGAUUUGUGGGAUUCUUUUUUGAAGUUCACAUUAUUUCAUUAGCGCAGUACACCUUUUUUUCAUGUGAAGCUCGCUUCUUUUUUUAAUAGGACUUAACUACCAUAACAGUGCCCACAAGCAGCAUGGCAACAAGCUGGGUGUUCUUGCGGCUACCUCCCGCUGUUGUUAUUACAAGUGCAAUUCAGGCUCUUCAUUUCAUUUGGAUGAAGCAACCGAACACAAAGUGCACAACCGGAAUAAAGAUGUGGAGAUGAAGAACUCAUUUUUUCUAAUCCAUGGAGUUCAUUUCUCCUAAAUUUUGAAGUUCACAUCUCCUGCUAAUUGGAGCUAGUUCAGUUUGCUGUUGUGUGUCUCCGCCACAUGGUGAAGUGAAUACAGAUUGGUGUUGCUCUGCCGCUUCUGCCUCCGUGUAGCUCGAGGGUGCAGAACAGAGCUCGAGCUCGAGGGUGCAGAGCAGAGCAUACAACCGACGACGUCAUCCGGAG